UCGUCACACUAUCAUCGUCACACUAUCAUUAACUGAAUCCAUAGGUUAAUGAGGCGAACCGGGGGAACUGAAACAUCUAAGUACCCCGAGGAAAAGAAAUCAACCGAGAUUCCCCCAGUAGCGGCGAGCGAACGGGGAGGAGCCCAGAGCCUGAAUCAGCAUGUGUGUUAGUGGAAGCGUCUGGAAAGGCGCGCGAUACAGGGUGACAGCCCCGUACACAAAAGCGCAUGUGCUGUGAGCUCGAUGAGUAGGGCGGGACACGUGGUAUCCUGUCUGAAUAUGGGGGGACCAUCCUCCAAGGCUAAAUACUCCUGACUGACCGAUAGUGAACCAGUACCGUGAGGGAAAGGCGAAAAGAACCCCGGCGAGGGGAGUGAAAAAGAACCUGAAACCGUGUACGUACAAGCAGUGGGAGCACAGGUUUACCUGUGUGACUGCGUACCUUUUGUAUAAUGGGUCAGCGACUUAUAUUCUGUAGCAAGGUUAACCGWAUAGGGGAGCCGKAGGGAAACCGAGUCUUAAYYGGGCGUUAAGUUGCAGGGUAUAGACCCGAAACCCGGUGAUCUAGCCAUGGGCAGGUUGAAGGUUGGGUAACACUAACUGGAGGACCGAACCGACUAAUGUUGAAAAAUUAGCGGAUGACCUGUGGCUGGGGGUGAAAGGCCAAUCAAACCGGGAGAUAGCUGGUUCUCCCCGAAAGCUAUUUAGGUAGCGCCUCGUGAAUUCAUCUCCGGGGGUAGAGCACUGUUUCGGCUAGGGGGCCAUCCCGGCUUACCAACCCGAUGCAAACUGCGAAUACCGGAGAAUGUUAUCACGGGAGACACACGGCGGGUGCUAACGUCCGUCGUGAAGAGGGAAACAACCCAGACCGCCAGCUAAGGUCCCAAAGUCAUGGUUAAGUGGGAAACGAUGUGGGAAGGCCCAGACAGCCAGGAUGUUGGCUUAGAAGCAGCCAUCAUUUAAAGAAAGCGUAAUAGCUCACUGGUCGAGUCGGCCUGCGCGGAAGAUGUAACGGGGCUAAACCAUGCACCGAAGCUGCGGCAGCGAACGAUAAAGCGGGUGAAAAGCCCGCUCGCCGGAAGACCAAGGGUUCCUGUCCAACGUUAAUCGGGGCAGGGUGAGUCGACCCCUAAGGCGAGGCCGAAAGGCGUAGUCGAUGGGAAACGGGUUAAUAUUCCCGUACUUGGUGUUACUG
rnacentral:rRNA from 1 species